rnacentral:rRNA from 1 species
UACGUAGGGGGCAAGCGUUGUCCGGAUUUAUUGGGCGUAAAGAGCGUGUAGGCGGUUUGGUAGGUCCGUUGUGAAAACUCGAGGCUCAACCUCGAGACGCCGGCGGAAACCAUCAGGCUAGAGUCCGGAAGAGGAGAGUGGAAUCCUGGUGUAGCGGUGAAAUGCGCAGAUAUCAGGAAGAACACCCGUGGCUAAGGCGGCUCUCUAGUACGGUACUAACGCUAGAGCGAA